rnacentral:rRNA from 1 species
GACGAACGCUGGCGGCGUGCUUAACACAUGCAAGUCGAACGAUGAUGCCCAGCUUGCUGGGUGGAUUAGUGGCGAAUGGGUGAGUAACACGUGGGCAACCUGCCCCACACUGUGGGAUAACUCCUCGCAAGAGGUGCUAAUACCGGAUACGAACUAGACAGACAUCUGUACUAGUUGGAAAGUUUUUCGGUUUGGGAUGGGCCCGCGGCCUAUUAGCUUGUUGGUGAGGUAACGGCGCACCAAGGCUACGACGGGUAACCGGCCUGGGUGGGCGACCGGUAGCACUGGGACGUAGAUACGGCCUUGACUCAUACGGGAGGAAGCAGUGGGGAAUAGUGCGCAAUGGGCGAAGGCCUGGAGCAGCGACGCCGCGUGAGGGAUGAAGGUCUUCGGAUCGUAAACCUCUGUCAGUAGGGACGAAGCGAAAGUGACGGUACCUAAAGAAGAAGCACCGGCUAACUACGUGCCAGCCGCCGCCGUAA